AGCAGCCGCGGUAAUUCCAGCUCCAAUAGCGUAUAUUAAAGUUGUUGCAGUUAAAAAGCUCGUAGUUGAAUUUCGGGAUCAAUGCGUCGGUCGUGCCUUCGGUACGUACUAGCGUCAUUGAUUCCUCCCUUCUGAAGAACCGUGAUGUCAUUAAUUUGGUGUUACGGGGAAUCAGGACUGUUACCUUGAAAAAAUUAGAGUAGUUUAAGGCAGGCUAACGCUUGAAUACAUUAGCAUGGAAUAAUGAAAUAGGACGUUCGAACCUAUUUGUUGGUUUCUAGGAUCGACGUAAUGAUUAAUAGGGAUAGUUGGGGGCAUUAGUAUUCAAUUGUCAGAGGUGAAAUUCUUGGACUUAUUGAAGACUAACUACUGCGAAAGCAUUUGCCAAGGAUGUUUUCAUUAAUCAAGAACGAAAGUUAGGGGAUCGAAGACGAUCAGAUACCGUCGUAGUCUUAACCAUAAACUAUGCCGACUAGGGAUCGGAUGAUU
rnacentral:rRNA from 1 species